rnacentral:misc_RNA from 1 species
GAUGAAGAACGUAGCGAAAUGCGAUAAGUAAUGUGAAUUGCAGAAUUCAGUGAAUCAUCGAAUCUUUGAACGCACCUUGCGCCCUUUGGCUAUUCCGAAGGGCAUGCCUGUUUGAGUAUCAUGAACACCUCAACUCCUCAUGGCUUGCCAUGAUGAGCUUGGACUUGGGGGUCUUGCUGGCCUGUGGUCAGCUCCUCUCAAAUGAAUCAGCUUGCCAGUGAUUGGUGACACCACAGGUGUGAUAACUAUCUACGCUUGUGGUUUUCCAUCAAGUCACCUUCAGCGAUGGAGGUUCGCUGGGGCUCAUAAAGAAGGCCUCUCCUCGGUGAGGAUGGCUCCUUUGAACGUUUGAUCUCAAAUCAGGUAGGACUACCCGCUGAACUUAAGCAUAUCAAUAAGCGGAGGA